GGGGUUGUAGCUCAGUCGGUAGAGCAAAUGACUCUUAAUCAUUGGGUCCGGGGUUCGAAUCCCCGCAACCCCACCA
rnacentral:tRNA from 1 species